UAAGGUUGCUAAAGAGAAGGUUCAAGUCAAGGGAUACAAGAAGACUUACAAGAUGAGUAGCUCUCGGGUCGAGGUGGACAGAUUUGAUGGGACUGGUGAUUUCUCUCUGUGGAAGGUCAGGAUGCUGGCUCACUUUGGUGUGCUAGGGCUGAAAGAUAUCUUGCAUGAUGAGCAGCUGCUAAAAGACCCACCUACUACUGGAACAGAACCUGCAGCAGCUCAGAGAGACUCUGAAACAGGCACAAGCGGAAGUUCAGAGCUGUCCACAAGUAUUGAUCCUGCAAAGUUGGAAAAAUCAGAGAAGGCAAAGGAUCUUAUAGUACUAAAUGUGGGAAAUCAAGUACUAAGGAAGAUCACACAUUGUGAAACUGCUGCAGCCAUGUGGUCGACUCUAAACAGGUUAUACAUGGAGACCUCUUUGCCUAAUCGCAUCUACUUACAGCUUAAGUUCUAUACUUUUAAGAUGACAGAUUCUAAGAGUAUAGAUGAGAAUGUUGAUGACUUUCUUAAGCUGGUUGCUGAUCUAAACAAUAUAGGAGUGGAAGUGACAGAAGAGGUUCAAGCUAUAUUGUUGUUGAGUUCAUUAUCUGACAGGUAUGAUCAACUCAAAGAGACUCUUAAAUACGGCCGAGAUACUUUGAGUUUGAAUGAUGUCAUAGGGGCUGCAAAAUCAAAGGAAAGAGAGCUGACAGAGAGUGGGAAGCUCUCCAGAUCAGAGGCAGAAGGGUUAUAUGUUGAGAGAAGAGGUAGAUCAAAUGAUAGGUUCAACAACAACCAAGGGAGAGGAAGAUCUAAGAGCAGAGGAAGAUCUAGGCCAAGGUACAGCAAAUCUGACACAAGCUGUUUCAUUUGUGGAAAGGAAGGGCACUGGAAAAGAGAAUGUCCGGAAAGAAAGAAGCCUACGGAAUCGGCCAACAUCGCAGCCGAGCCUACGCAGCCUUUGGUAUUAACAGUUAGCACUCAAGACACAAAAAAUGAAUGGGUUAUGGAUUCGGGUUGUACAUUCCACAGUACAAGAGACAGAGAAGUCUUGUUUGACUUCAAGGAGUUCAGUGAUGAGAAAGUGCUCAUGGCUAACAACACGUGUGCUGAGGUCAAGGGAAUUGGAAAGAUUCAGAUUCAGAAUCCAGAUGGUUCUAUAGUGAUACUCAAGGAUGUGCGAUACAUGCCGGAAGUGAGAAGAAAUCUGAUUUCUUAUGGAAUGUUAGAAAAGUCAGGCUGCAAUUAUAAAGGAAGUGGCUUCGUGGUGAAUUUAUACAAAGACAAUAAGAAAGUGAUAUCGGGAAAAUAUCACAAAGGGCUCUAUUAUCUACAAGGCACAGUUUCUAAAGGGGAAGGAAAUGUGUCAAAGGCUGAAGAUGGAGUGAGAAAGAGGAAGUCAAAGAAAGUGACAUUUAGUGUGAAUCUAGUUCAGGGACCUACUCCAUAUGGUUUUAAGACAAGAGGAAUAUCAGAUCAAGGUGGAGAUUCAUCCUCCACAGAAAAAUCAGAAAGUUCAGAUGAGGUUAAAUCAGAAAAGAGCGAAGGAAUUUCUGAUGACCAGCCACCAUUGAGUGAUCACAGUAAGACGUCAGUGCACAGCGAUAGUGAUGUGAAGGAUGAACGGGUUAUGGUGGAUAAACCAGAAAAUAUCAGCAAGAAAGGAGAGUUAUCAGAAAUCAGUUUGGUUCAAGAAAGUGUAAGCGAUGAAGUUGCAAUUAAAGAGUUGGGAAAAGUUUCAAGAAUUCAGGAAAUGAACAUCAAAAGAGAUAGAGCAAAGGAAGGUGUAGCUCUCUCACAGAAAAAAGAAGAUGAGGCUGUUGGAAAAUCUGAAGCUAAAGCAAUGUUUGUUGGAAACAUGGUAUCAAAAGGAGAGGAGUUGCUAAGCAAGAUACUAUCAAGUAUAUAUCCAACAGAUUUAAUAAGUCAAGCAGUACCUGUAGAGGAUUUUCAGGUUUGCUAUGAUCUCCUCAAUAUCGUCUGACGGACUGCACAGCUCCAGGUAACUCCAUAAUCGACAUUCGACACUGACAGGGAAGAAGAACAGAGAAAUUAGUCAGUUUGGAGAAAUUAUUGUUAUGUCGAUAAUCUAGAAUCAGAAGGGUUAAAGGAGUUACCUGUAGACAUCUGGAAUUACAGUGAGGAGACAUAAAUUCCAGGUGGAGCUGUGGGGAAAAUUCAAGAAAAACAAAAAAAAGGUGGGAGUUUCGGUGAUGAAAGUUCAAGAAAUCCAAGUUUGGAUUUUCAGCGGCUCAAGGUGAAGAUAUCCAGCAGAGAGGAGGAUGAUUCAUGGUGAGGGUACCUCAAGUCAUCAAGGAGAAGAACACAUGUUAUUUCAAGUGGAGUUGCUGUUCAUAAAGAAACAAAACAUGAAAGGAGGAUUAAGGUUUUGUCCGAACAAAAUCCAGAGAUAGAGAUGGAGCUAAAGCUGAUGCAAUUGGUGAGAUAAUUCUUACCAAAGGGUCACUGGAAUUGAUUGUUUGUUGGUGACGACGAGGUGGAGCAGCUCAGCAGCUAAAAGUGAUUCAAAAUUGAAACUUUAUGUUUCAAAAUUUCUGGAAAUUUCAAAUGAUUUUUUUUUAUCUCUAGUGUCAAGAAGAGACAAGAGAGAGAUUGGUCGUACCUGGGAUUUAUAGAGGAGGAGGUGACCAGAGAAGCUGGGAAUCACGUCGGAAAAAAUGAUGGAGUUUGGCACCGGAAUAGGCUUCAAAAGGUGAAAAUUGGUGUUUUUUCAAUUUUCUGGAAAUUUAGAAGAACCUAAUCUCUAAUUGUGGCAACAAAACAAUAAGUAAGAAAGAGAUUAGAGGGUGCCUGAGAUGAACGGUGACGACGGUUUCACCGGAGACGUUUCAUCGGAGAAGACGAAGGAGCUGCGUUUAAUCCAUUGGAGGAGACAAAGUGGAUGUCUCAAAUUUGGGGGCCGGCUGGAGCGAUUCGUUCGCCGGAGAUGGAGGAAGAGAUCGCCGGAGUAAACCGCCGUAAGUGAUGGCUGAACCGGUGAUGCAUAGUUUCACGACCAGUGGAAGAGAUGGUUAUGGUUUUCUUCAUAUGUCGAUGGCGAAGAUUGCGUUAUUGUCAAAAGGUGGAGUUUGUUGUUGGGUUUGACAAAACACAAUCAAUGGGCCCUUAAUGGGCUGAC
rnacentral:lncRNA from 1 species